UACAAUGCAGUGAUGAAAAACAAGUGUUUCGGACUAGAGUUUCUGAUCUGGUUCGCCAGGCUGACGAGAAACCUCUUGGCUGGCUGAGCAUUAUU
rfam:Marchantia polymorpha subsp. polymorpha scaffold4762, whole genome shotgun sequence.